rnacentral:snRNA from 1 species
AUGCUUUAGCAGCAUGUAUACUAAAAUUAGAACAAUACAGAGAAGAUUAGCAUGGCCCCUGCACAAGAAUGACAUGGAAAUUCAUGAAGUAUUCCACAUUUUU